rnacentral:rRNA from 1 species
CCUACGGGAGGCAGCAGUGAGGAAUAUUGGUCAAUGGACGCAAGUCUGAACCAGCCAUGCCGCGUGCAGGAAGACGGCUCUAUGAGUUGUAAACUGCUUUUGUACGAGGGUAAACGCAGAUACGCGUAUCUGUCUGAAAGUAUCGUACGAAUAAGGAUCGGCUAACUCCGUGCCAGCAGCCGCGGUAAUACGGAGGAUUCAAGCGUUAUCCGGAUUUAUUGGGUGUAAAGGGUGCGUAGGCGGUCGGAUAAGUUAGAGGUGAAAUCCCGGGGCUCAACUUCGGAAUUGCCUCUGAUACUGUUCGGCUAGAGAGUAGUUGCGGUAGGCGGAAUGUAUGGUGUAGCGGGGAAAUGCUUAGAGAUCAUACAGAACACCGAUUGCGAAGGCAGCUUACCAGGCUACUUCUGACGUUGAGGCACGAAAGCGUGGGGAGCAAACAGGAUUAGAUACCCCUGUAGUC